rnacentral:rRNA from 1 species
UACGAAGGGGGCUAGCGUUGCUCGGAAUGACUGGGCGUAAAGCGCACGUAGGCGGAUUGCUAAGUCAGGGGUGAAAUCCUGGAGCUCAACUCCAGAACUGCCUUUGAUACUGGUGAUCUUGAGUCCGGGAGAGGUGAGUGGAACUGCGAGUGUAGAGGUGAAAUUCGUAGAUAUUCGCAAGAACACCAGUGGCGAAGGCGGCUCACUGGCCCGGUACUGACGCUGAGGUGCGAAAGCGUGGGGAGCGAACAGG